AGUCACUGACAUUAGAUACCCCCGUAGUCCCAGCCGUAAACAAUGUGCGUUAGGUAUGUCGGUAACCACGUGUUACUGAUGUGCCGAAGAGAAAUCGUGAAACGCACCACCUGGGAAGUACGGUCGCAAGGCUGAAACUUAAAGGAAUUGGCGGGGAGCACCACAACAGGUGGAGCCUGCGGUUUAAUUGGAUUCAACGCCGGGAAGCUCACCGGAUAGGACAGCAGAAUGAUUGCCGGGCUGAAGACCCUGCAUGACUAGCUG
rnacentral:rRNA from 1 species